GACGAACGCUGGCGGCGUGCCUAACACAUGCAAGUCGAACGAAGAGCGAUGGAAGCUUGCUUCUAUCAAUCUUAGUGGCGAACGGGUGAGUAACGCGUAAUCAACCUGCCCUUCAGAGGGGGACAACAGUUGGAAACGACUGCUAAUACCGCAUACGAUCUAAUCUCGGCAUCGAGGAUAGAUGAAAGGUGGCCUCUACAUGUAAGCUAUCACUGAAGGAGGGGAUUGCGUCUGAUUAGCUAGUUGGAGGGGUAACGGCCCACCAAGGCGAUGAUCAGUAGCCGGUCUGAGAGGAUGAACGGCCACAUUGGGACUGAGACACGGCCCAGACUCCUACGGGAGGCAGCAGUGGGGAAUCUUCCGCAAUGGACGAAAGUCUGACGGAGCAACGCCGCGUGAGUGAUGACGGCCUUCGGGUUGUAAAGCUCUGUUAAUCGGGACGAAAGGCCUUCUUGCGAAU
rnacentral:rRNA from 1 species